AACGCGAAGAACCUUACCUACUCUUGACAUCCACGGAACUUAGCAGAGAUGCUUUGGUGCCUUCGGGAACCGUGAGACAGGUGCUGCAUGGCUGUCGUCAGCUCGUGUUGUGAAAUGUUGGGUUAAGUCCCGCAACGAGCGCAACCCUUAUCCUUUGUUGCCAGCGGUCCGGCCGGGAACUCAAAGGAGACUGCCAGUGAUAAACUGGAGGAAGGUGGGGAUGACGUCAAGUCAUCAUGGCCCUUACGAGUAGGGCUACACACGUGCUACAAUGGCAUAUACAAAGAGAAGCGACCUCGCGAGAGCAAGCGGACCUCAUAAAGUAUGUCGUAGUCCGGAUUGGAGUCUGCAACUCGACUCCAUGAAGUCGGAAUCGCUAGUAAUCGUGGAUCAGAAUGCCACGGUGAAUACGUUCCCGGGUCUUGUACACACCG
rnacentral:rRNA from 1 species